AAAAACAUGUCUUUUGUUCAGCUCUUGCAGAAAAAUAUGGAUGGAAGCAACUCCUAAAAUCCCCAACCACAGGAAACAAAAUUGGUGUUUUUCCAAGUUAAGUACUAUAACAGAGUGAAACAUACAUGUUUAAUUUGAAAAUGUUGAUUCCAAAUGGAUUUUUCUUUUGAAAAAACUUCCCCCAAGCAAGUCAAUAUUUGUAAUCAAAUUGAAAUUUCCUGUGGGAAUUAUUUAUUUUCAUGAGGUCUAAUUUUUACAGGGGAAAAUUCUGCACAGGAAGGUUUAAGUUGCUGUAAACCAGCGUUAGGAAUCUGGGUGGUAGGAGGGGGGCUGGGAAAUCCCACUCUGUGCUGCAAAGUGUCACCACUUCCCUGUGAUGGAGGUGUUGUGAUGAAAAAGUUGGAACUCCUCUUUGAAGAGGGAAAAGCAUGAGCAGAAAGGUGAGAAAUUGGGAAGGAAGGAGCAUUCAGUUCGCUAGAUUUUUCCUCCCCCCUUUAUUUCUUGAGAACACAGCAGUGUGGGAUAGGACUCACCACGAGCAACGCUAGAGAUGGAAGUGAGAUACCCAAGAUGGCUGUUCUGAGCCUCCUGUGCUGGGGCGCCCUGUAGUUCACCUACCCUUAUUCUGCCAUCUGUUGGAAGAAGUGGGUCAUGCCAUUGACUUCAGUUGCCUUGAGGAGACACGGGGAUAAGAGCAACUGGUCCACGUCCACUGUAACCAUACAAAUCCCACCCACAGUGCUUGACGUGUUCAGGGGUACAGGGGGAGUGUGCAACCCUGUGCCUUGUGCAGCCGUUACUACACUGAUGGGACUCUCAGCCAGUUCUCCAAACCUCAUGAGAAGAGAGCAUGUUGGUCUUCCAGCAUCUACAAGGAAGCCCUUCAAAGACAGUUGUCAUGGCUUCAUCCUAAGGGCGAUUUUCUUGUAGAACCUGUGUCCACUGUAGAGCAACGACUGUGGCUAAUGAUGUGCAUAAUUUACAUUAUUAUACCUUUCAUUUUUGUAUUAUGAUAAAUCACCUACCUUCCCAUUUCUUUUUAUUGUGAUGUGCUGGGAACACAAUAUAGCAGGAGGAAAACAAUACAGCGCUGCCCCUGUCAGUCUCAAACACAGAAGCAGCACACCCAUGCUACAAACACUCACAGAUGCACAGCACCGUAUCAGAUUAUUAGCUCCAAGGCAACUGUCAGCAUGCAGUUUUAUUGGAAAUGAAAACAAGGUCUUCCCAGCUCUAUCAUCACUCAGAGAUGCAGGAAGAAGAUCCUGCAGGGCACUGUGGAAAGAUCCGCAUCCAGCAGUACUGUUUGGACAGUCGUACUCGACCAUCAUUUCCCAAACGUGAGAUGUUCAGCUGCUGCUCAGGAUGUCCCCACCAAGGGGAGCAUCCCUCCUUGGACACUGAUCUCUGCAGUCCUGAUGCUGAAUUAUUCUGGGAAGGAGUAUCAGGGGAACAAAUUAGUGAGGUGUUCUUACCAGAAAAUCCCGUGGCUACAGCUACCUGCAAGCAACAGGGCCCAGAGACUUGUACUUCCCUAUUCUGAUGCCUAAGCUUGAGGUUUGCCAGCACCUCUUGGUGAGCAGGAAGCCUCCAGCUGUGUUAGCUCUUCUGGCAUGGCAAUUGCUCCAAAGGAGUUUCUCCAUCCUCCCUAUCUUUGCCUUAGUGGAAGGCUGAGAAGCCCUUGGCUGCCAGCCAUUCCAAUACAUCUUGCAGGUAAUCCAUAGUUUCCUGGGUCAGAGCAGCUUCUCAGCAGCAAUCCUCUACUCUUAAAGUCAGUCCCCUUUCCUAGGUGGGAUACUUCUGCAGCACAAUCCCGUGUUCUGCCCUGGGUGAAGUUAGCCAGGACUUUGCACUCUCAAGGUCUUCAUCCAAAGCAGAAGUAACACAGCAAAAUGGACGUCAUGCUCAACCAAGAAGUAGUUGACACUAUCAGGACUUGGAGGAAUUAAAAUAAAUGACCAAAGUAAUUUUUGGCAGAGGACUCGAUUUCAAAGGACAAUGCACUGUCCAUUCUUCCCAGGGGAUGUUCUGGGAUAGACCUGCAUGAGUAACCUACAGCCAUUUUGAGCCAUCCCCUACUGCCCUCAGCAAGAACUUUCUGACCAAAACUUCAGGUGGAACGUACCAGCUAAGUGUGCUCAAGAUAUAUCACCCAAAGGACUGACACCACCAGCAGGACCAAAAGGAUGAUGUGUUCAGCAUGCUCAGGUUGGGCUUCAUGCCCAAAGGCAGCUGGUUUGUCCUCAUGGGGCAAGUCCUGCAUUGCCCAGGAACCACACUGUGCAAAUCCAUCGUGGAGGCUAGAACACAUCCAUGCAUGGAUCCUGAAGACUAACCUUGUCCCCUUCUCCAGGUGCCUGGGAACCUUGGCCACACACACGUACAGACCAGCCAGGUGCUGCAGGAAGCAGCAGGAUGAUAGAUGGCACCUGCAAGCUGAGAGGUACACGCACAAAACCCAUUUUUUUCUCCGCAAGGUUCAAAUAUUUUUGCUCCAUCUGAGGCUUGGAUCCAGGUUCUCCUGCAUGGCAGUCAGAGAUGCUGGAAAAGGCUCAACAUUAGAGCUCAGGAAUGGGGGCUCAGGUUCUGUUCCCCAGCUUAGGGCAGUGCUGGUAAAGAUCUGCCCUCACCCAGGCGCCUGGGAAGCUUUUGGCUGCUGCUGGCAUUAGUGCAGAAAGCAAGAAGACAUUUACUUCCAGGAACAGAUGCAAACACGGGGAAUUGCCAAUUGGCCAAAAUCAAAUACAACCUGACCUCUGAUGAUCUGCAGCCUUACUACUUUCAAACAACACUGCACUCAAUAUUGGCAAUAUAAUAGUUUACCUUGGAGACCCAAGGGCUAAAGGAGAAAUGAAACCUGAAGCUGCUGGAGAUGUUGCUUUUCCACUGUUUCUAUUACCGAUAACAGGCCAGCAAAACCCCACGAGGUCCUUGAGCUCUAGGAGAGCCUGCCUGCACCUCCUCCCCAAGACUUCGUGCCAAAAUACCCCAAAACUUAAGAGCUGGGCUUUAUCAGAGCACCUGAUAAAUAUAGAAAGUAGAGAAUGAGCUGGAAUAGUGAUGUUCUACCCUGGGAGGAAGGUCCUUUCUUUUGGGUUUCCUUUCAGUCCUGCAACCUCCCAGCGAUCCCCUGGGUAAUCACAAAGCCUUGCUGCCCCCAGAAAAGCCCCUUUCUUUCCUUUGAAGGGGAGCUGACACCCACAGGGAACAAACCCUAAGUCAGAAAUAAUGGGAGUCCUUUGAAAAAAACCAAAAACAUCCGAGUCUGAAUAUAACCACAAGGAAAAAAAUGGAAACUUAUCUGCAAUAUGCACCCCCUCCCAAGCAAAUUAAUACCCUGGACCAGAGCCUUGUCCAGAAGCAGUGUAAAUAUCUCAGCAACUCAUUACCUUGUUAAUUGGAUCACUCCAAGCUUUUUGGAACCAGUCUAAAGCACAGUCAAAUCCAUUAAAAAAUGGAUUUCUUAUUUCUCUAUAGCUGUCUCUAGCUUUAGUGCUUUUUCUAUUAAACAUUGGCUAGAGUAGCUUCUCCCUUUACCUCAACUCUUUCCCAGCAAGGCACUUCCUACAUUUUUGAUGUGUGCCCUUCUUCCUGCCCCCGAGGUGCCGUGUGGGUGCUGGUAGGGUACGCUGGGAGCAAUAACCCUCCUCCUGCCAAACUGCCCCUCCUCAUCCUGUUCCCACAUCCUGGGAUCUCCCUCACUUGGAUGCUCCAACCCCAGCACAGAGGAGAAAUGCAUCCGGGGACACUCUGAGCUGCACUUUGCACUUAUUUCCUAAGAAACUAAAGAUGUGUGUGGGGGGGAACCAACACAUUGCUUCCAUCCCCUGUACAAACCUUUCACUUACCAAGGCAUCCACGUGCUUGCCUACUGAUUAAGAGCACUAGGGCCACUGUGUGAGAUUGGACACGACAGCAGCAUAAGGGGAGCCAUAUGCUCCGCCAGGAGAGGAGCAU
ensembl:lncRNA